AUGACCUGCUUUAACUGUAGUUGGCCGGGGCACUAUGUGGGGAACUGCAUUGAGCCGAAGAAGUGCUUUAUCUGCGCGGGAGGUCAUAAUGUCAACAAUUGCGCUGCCUGGGCAAAGCCACAUCCUACAGCGACCUACUUUGGUAGCGCAGCGGCUGGCCUGGGGUUAUACCAUAUUGAUGUACCCACUGCUUCAGAACUAAGUUGGCUUAACUACAAGAAUUGUGUAGUUCUCAAAGUGGUUAAGGGUGAGGUUUCUGCCUCAGAGUUGCUGAUUCAGCUCAAUGGAAUUUUUUGCAAAAACAAAGAGUGGCCUUGGCAGAUUAGGGACCUGGGAGAGAAGAAAUUCUUGCUGAGAUUUCCACCUUGGAAAAAUGUUGAAGACCUAAUUGAGUUUCCUGCAUUCGAGCUCCCAAUUGAUGGUGUCUUUGUCAAGAUCUGCGAAUGGGUUGGAAUGCUAGAUGAAUUUGGAGGACUUACUGAGGCCUGGGUUCAAAUUGAGGGGAUUCCUCCAAAGUGGUGUGCAUGGAAGGUGUUUGCCCAGAUUACAGCUUGCUUUGGGAUCCUGGUAGAUGUUGACUGGAAUGGUAUAUUUAAGAGCUUCUAUGAGAAUAUCAGAGUGAAAGUGGCUUGUAGAGACCCCAGGAAAAUUCCAUUUGAGAGAUUAGUUGAAAUGAAAAGGAAGUUAUACAUUCUGUUCUUCACUGUUGAAGGGUUUGAA
rnacentral:rRNA from 1 species